CCGGUUGUGACAGAAAUUGUGGUAGACUUAAGCUCUAUUUAUGGGUAUAAAAUUACUCCAUCCGGU
rnacentral:tRNA from 1 species